GAUGAACGCUGGCGGCGUGCCUAAUACAUGCAAGUCGAGCGAGCAGACGAGGAGCUUGCUCCUCUGACGUUAGCGGCGGACGGGUGAGUAACACGUGGAUAACCUACCUAUAAGACUGGGAUAACUUCGGGAAACCGGAGCUAAUACCGGAUAAUAUAUUGAACCGCAUGGUUCAAUAGUGAAAGACGGUUUUGCUGUCACUUAUAGAUGGAUCCGCGCCGCAUUAGCUAGUUGGUAAGGUAACGGCUUACCAAGGCAACGAUGCGUAGCCGACCUGAGAGGGUGAUCGGCCACACUGGAACUGAGACACGGUCCAGACUCCUACGGGAGGCAGCAGUAGGGAAUCUUCCGCAAUGGGCGAAAGCCUGACGUAGCAACGCCGCGUGAGUGAUGAAGGUCUUCGGAUCGUAAAACUCUGUUAUUAGGGAAGAACAAAUGUGUAAGUAACUAUGCACGUCUUGACGGUACCUAAUCAGAAAGCCACGGCUAACUACGUG
rnacentral:rRNA from 1 species